CGCCGUGAACUGAGGGGUCCUGUCUCCCCCUUCAGAUCCGGCUGCGGGCCCGCCCGCCGAUACCCAUGGAAGGAG
rnacentral:ncRNA from 1 species